rnacentral:rRNA from 1 species
AGAGUUUGAUCCUGGCUCAGGACGAACGCUGGCGGCGUGCUUAACACAUGCAAGUCGAACGGAAAGGCCCUGCUUUUGUGGGGUGCUCGAGUGGCGAACGGGUGAGUAACACGUGAGUAACCUGCCCUUGACUUUGGGAUAACUUCAGGAAACUGGGGCUAAUACCGGAUAGGAGCUCCUGCUGCAUGGUGGGGGUUGGAAAGUUUCGGCGGUUGGGGAUGGACUCGCGGCUUAUCAGCUUGUUGGUGGGGUAGUGGCUUACCAAGGCUUUGACGGGUAGCCGGCCUGAGAGGGUGACCGGCCACAUUGGGACUGAGAUACGGCCCAGACUCCUACGGGAGGCAGCAGUGGGGAAUAUUGCACAAUGGGCGGAAGCCUGAUGCAGCAACGCCGCGUGCGGGAUGACGGCCUUCGGGUUGUAAACCGCUUUCGCCUGUGACGAAGCGUGAGUGACGGUAAUGGGUAAAGAAGCACCGGCUAACUACGUGCCAGCAGCCGCGGUGAUACGUAGGGUGCGAGCGUUGUCCGGAUUUAUUGGGCGUAAAGGGCUCGUAGGUGGUUGAUCGCGUCGGAAGUGUAAUCUUGGGGCUUAACCCUGAGCGUGCUUUCGAUACGGGUUGACUUGAGGAAGGUAGGGGAGAAUGGAAUUCCUGGUGGAGCGGUGGAAUGCGCAAAUAUCAAGAGGAACACCAGUGGCGAAGGCGGUUCUCUGGGCCUUUCCUGACGCUGAGGAGCGAAAGCGUGGGGAGCGAACAGGCUUAGAUACCCUGGUAGUCCACGCUGUAAACGGUGGGUACUAGGUGUGGGGUCCAUUCCACGGGUUCCGUGCCGUAGCUAACGCUUUAAGUACCCCGCCUGGGGAGUACGGCCGCAAGGCUAAAACUCAAAGGAAUUGACGGGGCCCCGCACAAGCGGCGGAGCAUGCGGAUUAAUUCGAUGCAACGCGUAGAACCUUACCUGGGUUUGACAUGGAUCGGGAGUGCUCAGAGAUGGGUGUGCCUCUUUUGGGGUCGGUUCACAGGUGGUGCAUGGCUGUCGUCAGCUCGUGUCGUGAGAUGUUGGGUUAAGUCCCGCAACGAGCGCAACCCUUGUUCACUGUUGCCAGCACGUUAUGGUGGGGACUCAGUGGAGACCGCCGGGGUCAACUCGGAGGAAGGUGGGGAUGACGUCAAGUCAUCAUGCCCCUUAUGUCCAGGGCUUCACGCAUGCUACAAUGGCUGGUACAGAGAGUGGCGAGCCUGUGAGGGUGAGCGAAUCUCGGAAAGCCGGUCUCAGUUCGGAUUGGGGUCUGCAACUCGACCUCAUGAAGUCGGAGUCGCUAGUAAUCGCAGAUCAGCAACGCUGCGGUGAAUACGUUCCCGGGGCUUGUACACACCGCCCGUCAAGUCAUGAAAGUUGGUAACACCCGAAGCCGGUGGCCUAACCGUUGUGGGGGAGCCGUCGAAGGUGGGACUGGUGAUUAGGACUAAGUCGUAACAAGGUAACCAAG